AUGACAGGAGAAAGGAAUAGUGUAGAUAGAGGAAGCCCAGGGUUGAGAGGAGGAAGGAAUGGAGUGGGUAGGUGGAGCCUGGGGUCCAGAGGAAGAAGUAAUAGAGUGCGUAGGUGGAGCCUGGGGUUGGGAGGAGGUAGGAAUGGAGUGGGUAGGUGGAGCCUGGGGUCGGGAGGAGGUAGGAAUGGAGUGGGUAGGUGGAGCCUGGGGUCGAGAGGAAGAAGUAAUAGACUGGGUAGGUGGAGCCCGGGGUCGAGAGGAAGAAGUAAUAGACUGGGUAGGUGGAGCCCGGGGUCGAGAGGAAGAAGUAAUAGACUGGGUAGGUGGAGCCCGGGGUCGGGAGGAGGAAGUAAUAGAGUGGGUAGGUGUAGCCUGGGGUCGAGAGGAAGAAGUAAUAGAGUGGGUAGGUGGAGCUCGGGGUCGGGAGGAGGAAGGAAUAGACUGGGUAGGUGGAGCUCGGGGUCUAGAGGAAGAAUAAAAGAGCGGGGUAGGUGGGAGCCCCGGUGUCUAGAGAGGCAAGGAAUAGAGUGCGUUAGGUGGAGCCGGUGGUCCGAGAAGGAAAGAAGAUCAGAGGCAGCUAGUUUUGGUCAUUUCUUCUCCAACGGCGUUGGUAGUAAUCAUCUUGACCAAAUGAGUAACUGGACAAAGGUCAGACUUACCCCAUUAUUUAUGUCACACGCCAGCCCUCGCAUCAUCCCCUGCCUCAAUGCCCAUUAUGACAUAUGCGUGCCCCUCCCUCUGGGCCCCUCAGCAGGCUCACCAGCCAGGGACAUGGCCCCGGGUGGGAGGUUGGAGAGUGAUCCCAGGAAAUAGCAGACAGAAGAAAUGCCAUAGGAGUCCCUAGGCCUUGGGAGAACAUGUAGUUUUGCCCCUCACUUGGCAAAGAUUGAUCAAAGGGCUGUGCUGCACUCAGGGGCUGGGCACCGAGAGGAUGCAUGGGAAGCAGGUGUGGUCAAAGUGGGAAGCGCAUGCCUCCAGCUAGUUAACUUACGCCCUUCUCCAAAGCCCUCGUACAUCACUUAGGUCACUCCAUGAAUAUCAGUGAUAUUAUUAAGAAGUCCAGGUGAAUACCUGGAAAACUUCCUGUUUCCUUAGACGGUUUCUUGAUUUCCUGUUUCUUGAAUCUCCUGGCUUUAACUGUAACCUGGAUUUUCCAUGAAAAUACUGCUUCCUUUGCAUAUGUCUUAGAUAGGGACCCUUCCUCCCAAACUCUACAGUUCUUCGAGGUGGGGAUGUAGAGUAUUUUCCUUGUUUCUUCUGACACCUUCAAGCUAUUAUUCCUCUUCCUCAUUAGGAAAUCACUUGUUCCAUAGAAACAUGCUACUCACCAUUUCCCUGGCACUCCAGAUCUAGGUACCUGUUUUUUUCUAUGAAAAACUUGCGCUUAUCUAAGAGUCUUAGUCUUGAGUCCAUCAUCUUUUUUUAUUAAAAAAUAUUUAUUUAUUAGAGAGAGUAAGCCAGAGAGAGAGAGAGGAAGAGAGAGAGAGUGUGAGAGAGAGAACAAGCUGGGGAGGGGCAGAGGGAGAAGUAGAAGGAGAUUUCCCACUCAGUGUGGAGUCUGACAUCGGACUUGAUCCCAGGACCCCAGGGUCAUGAUCUGGAGCAGAGGCAGAUGCUCAACGCACUGAGCAACCCUGGCACCCCUUGAGUCCAUCAUCUUGAGUGACGUCAGUGUCCAUCUAGAUGAUCUCGUUGAAUCUACAGUGUCCAUGUAGAUUCAAUGCUUUGGCUUCUCCUUUGAUUUCUUUAUCAAUAAUAUCCACCCAUCCAUUCUACCUCAGCUGCUUAUGGCCAUAUCUGGUGUUUUCCAGUACCCAAGAAUUAUCCCACUUCUGAAACCAUGUACUCAUACAUUGCAUUUUCUGACUACUACUUCCUGAGCUUACAAUGUAAUCACUGAAUUGUUCUUACUUCAUGGGGCCUACAACCACUGACUCUUCCUUUCUUCUUAUGGAUUCUGAUUCCUGUUAUCUUGAUUUCUCUCCUCUCCUACUUCAGAAUCUAGGAUUCCUAAUUUCAAUGAUUUUCUUACCAUAGUCUGUGCUCUCUUGCCAGAUCUU
rnacentral:lncRNA from 1 species